AGAGUUUGAUCAUGGCUCAGAUUGAACGCUGGCGGCAGGCCUAACACAUGCAAGUCGAGCGGUAGCACAGGGAGCUUGCUCCUGGGUGACGAGCGGCGGACGGGUGAGUAAUGUCUGGGAAACUGCCCGAUGGAGGGGGAUAACUACUGGAAACGGUAGCUAAUACCGCAUAACGUCUUCGGACCAAAGUGGGGGACCUUCGGGCCUCACACCAUCGGAUGUGCCCAGAUGGGAUUAGCUAGUAGGUGAGGUAAUGGCUCACCUAGGCGACGAUCCCUAGCUGGUCUGAGAGGAUGACCAGCCACACUGGAACUGAGACACGGUCCAGACUCCUACGGGAGGCAGCAGUGGGGAAUAUUGCACAAUGGGCGCAAGCCUGAUGCAGCCAUGCCGCGUGUGUGAAGAAGGCCUUCGGGUUGUAAAGCACUUUCAGCGAGGAGGAAGGGUUCGGUGUUAAUAGCACCGUUCAUUGACGUUACUCGCAGAAGAAGCACCGGCUAACUCCGUGCCAGCAGCCGCGGUAAUAC
rnacentral:rRNA from 1 species